ACGCACGUGUGAAACUUGAAGGAAUUGACGGAAGGGCACCACAAGAACGCGUGGAGCAUGUGGCUUAAUUUGACCCAACGCGGGAAAUCUUACCGGGUCCGGACACACUGAGGAUUGACAGGUUUUAUCAUGUUAUCUUUGAUGACAUGUGUCAAAUAUGCUAGUCCUUUCAUGAUUAUGUGAUAGGUGGUGCAUGGCCGUUCUUAGUUCGUGGAGUGAUCUGUCUGCUUAAUUGCGUUUCACUACGAAUCUACAUCAAAACGCAUGUUUGUGAGAUAGUUUGAUCCCUCCUUCGGGAGUUGUGCGUCUCUCUGUCAUAUUCACAUCGUGCAACGUAGAUUCUGAAA
rnacentral:rRNA from 1 species